UGGGGAAUAUUGGGCAAUGGGGGAAACCCUGACCCAGCAACGCCGCGUGAGGGAAGAAGGUUUUCGGAUCGUAAACCUCUGUCCUUGGUGAAGAGAAGAAGACGGUAGCCAAGGAGGAAGCCCCGGCUAACUACGUGCCAGCAGCCGCGGUAAUACGUAGGGGGCAAGCGUUGUCCGGAAUGAUUGGGCGUAAAGGGCGCGUAGGCGGCCUGGUAAGUCUGGAGUGAAAGUCCUGCUUUUAAGGUGGGAAUUGCUUUGGAUACUGCUGGGCUUGAGUGCAGGAGAGGUAAGUGGAAUUCCCAGUGUAGCGGUGAAAUGCGUAGAGAUUGGGAGGAACACCAGUGGCGAAGGCGACUUACUGGACUGUAACUGACGCUGAGGCGCGAAAGUGUGGGGAGCAAACAGG
rnacentral:rRNA from 1 species